rnacentral:lncRNA from 1 species
GCCUGUGCCCAAGUUGGCGGGGUAACAUUUUUCAAUGGUGCUUAUUAGAAGUGUUUUUCAUCUUAUCAUUUUAAGAAAAUAAAACUGGAAAUGGAAUAUGGGCAGCAUGAUUGUACCCUCCUGGUUCUGUUCUUUCCCCACUCCUCUGUCUCUCUAUAACCAUGCUGAUACACCUGUCCACUGAAUGUCAAUGAGACCAUCUGUUUUCCUGGAAAUAUAUUCACUGGUUUCCUAUGAGUCCCCAAACACAUCCUGGAAUCUAGCAGACUGACUUAUGUGAAUACUCUUUGGAUCAGUGGUCAGAAAUGAGGAAGCUUGAUAGACCUUAUUAUAACUCUUGAGUUUCUCUAUUUAGGAGAGCAGAGACUAAUAUCAAGUUUCUUCAUGUUUCAUAUCAAAGCUCCAUUGGUGACCUCAUUUGCUUUCAGAGUGACCAGCCAUCUUGCAGGCUUUAGGCUUCGGACAGCCUCACUUCCAAGAUAAGAGGAGGAAUGAUAUAGGUUAUCCUGGGAAAUGGAUGCUAACUAAGGUCCCCAUCCAAGAAUCAAGCUAGUAAAAAGGCCUAACUUGAAAUUUUGUAUUCCAAGACAUCAAAGUUAACGUUUAACCCAAGGUAAAUAAUGAGUACAAAGUCUAAUGACCCUUUUAAUAGCAUUGCAGUGAUACUAAGUCAUAUAAUGAUUCAUAUAUAACUAGGGGAUCAACUGAUUUUGUUGAGUAAUUUUUCCUCUUCGUAACACUGCAGGCCCUUCUGACCUGAAGAAAGCAAGUUAGUCCUGGGUCUGGCAUGUAGAGUCUUAACAUUUAAAGUCGCAGUCUCUUAAGUGGACAAAAGUGAGAGCCUAAAGCAAGGUCAAGUAGAUGGUGAAACCAGAUCUGCCUGCAGAAGAAUCCAUUUAACUGAACCCGCCCAUAAUAUUUGAGGCACAGAGUUACUAUGAAGGGAAAAAUAAAAAUGAUGUCUGUGUUCUUAGACAAAUAACCAUCAAUCUGACAGUCAAAACCAUUGGGGUCCACCAACAUGUGUUCCAUUUCUCACUGACCAUGCAGGCGCACAUUGUGGAAAUACUGGUUUAACUACUAGUGGUUACUGCCUCGUUUAUCUACAGAAUAUUAUUAACUAGAACAUAAUGCUUUCAAAGUUUAAGUUAAUGAAUACUGUACAUGUGUAAAAUGUUCAGUUGUUUUUUUGUAAAAUAUAGUAGAAUGGUUG